GUCUGGGUGGCUCAGUUGGUUGGGCUUCUGACUUCAGCUCAGGUCAUGAUCUGGAAGUUUUGUGGGUUCGAGACCCAAAUCAGACU
rnacentral:tRNA from 1 species